rnacentral:rRNA from 1 species
GUCGUCAGCUCGUGUCGUGAGAUGUUGGGUUAAGUCCCGUAACGAGCGCAACCCUUGUCCUUAGUUACCAGCACGUAAUGGUGGGCACUCUAAGGAGACUGCCGGUGACAAACCGGAGGAAGGUGGGGACGACGUCAAGUCAUCAUGGCCCUUACGACCUGGGCUACACACGUGCUACAAUGGUCGGUACAGAGGGUUGCCAAGCCGCGAGGUGGAGCUAAUCCCAGAAAACCGAUCGUAGUCCGGAUCGCAGUCUGCAACUCGACUGCGUGAAGUCGGAAUCGCUAGUAAUCGCGAAUCAGAAUGUCGCGGUGAAUACGUUCCCGGGCGGGCUACACAC